rnacentral:rRNA from 1 species
UACGGAAGGCAGCAGUGGGGAAUAUUGCACAAUGGGCGAAAGCCUGAUGCAGCUAUGCCGCGUGUAUGAAGAAGGCCUUAGGGUUGUAAAGUACUUUCAUCGGGGAGGAAAAACAAAACUAAUAAUUUUAUUUCUUGACGUUACCCGAAAAAGAAGCACCGGCUAACUCCGUGCCAGCAGCCGCGGUAAUACGGAGGGUGCUAGCGUUAAUCAGAAUUACUGGGCGUAAAGAGCACGUAGGUGGUUUUUUUAAGUCAGAUGUGAAAUCCCUGGGCUUAACCUAGGAACUGCAUUUUGAAACUGAAAUACUAGAGUAUCGUAGAGGGAGGUAGAAUUCUAGGUGUAGCGGUGAAAUGCGUAGAUAUCUGGAGGAAUACCUGUGGCGAAAGCGGCCUCCUAAACGAAUACUGACACUGAGGUGCGAAAGCGUGGGGA